AAUCGCUGUUAUAGUGGGUAAGUAGGGUCCAAGGUGAGUGUCAAUUACUGUUGCACAGUGAAGCUAACUGUAACUAUAUAAUAUAUAUAUAUAUAUAUAUUGAGCACAGUGAGUACACCGUGGGUGGGUGUAUUUGGCUUUUGGGCUGUGAGUGUAGCGUUGUGUGCGCGUGUUCAGUGUGUUCAGAGCCAAAGCAGAGGUCCUUGGCCGAGAGUGAGCAGGUCCCUUUUUCCUUCCUUGUUGCUCCUCCAAUGUUUGUGAGUAUAUAUAUAUAUAUAUAUGUGCAGUGGGUGGCAUCGGUUUCGUGGGUGAAAGAAUUUACUGGUGAGCAGGUGUGUGAUUACCCAAGUGUUUGAGGUUUGAGGUAGUGUAGCCAUGAGUGUAAGGAGCUUUGUAAGUGUGUAAAUGUGUAGGGGCAGUGAGUAGGAGCUUUGGUUGGGGGUAGAAGAUGCUCCACAGUGAAGGUGUGUGAGUGUAAUACCGUGUGUGUUCACUGGGUGUGUUUUGUUUUAUAUUAAUAUUGUUAUUGUUAUUGUAAAGAUAAGAUUAAUAGUAGUAAAUAAUAAUUUUUAUUGUUAGCUCCUGGUGAUGCUCUCGCUGGAGAUGGAAGGUGACCCAUGUAUAUUUAAUAGUGUAUAUUAAGUGUUUAUAUAUAGAUAUAAACAAUAGUAAAUAAUAUAUAUAUUUGUAUAUUAAGUGAGUUUGUGGUGAAUUCGUUGUGAGCUAAUUAAGUGAGCUUGCUGUGUCAGUGCGUGUCUAAAACACUAAAGGAAAUGACCUUGGAUCAUGUGUGCAAGGGAAAAAUAAUAGAAUUUUGGGAGUUUUCGGCAAAGGAAGUGAUCAGGAAAUGAUUUAAUUUGCAUCGGGAGCUCGAGUGAGGUCAGAAUCAGCUGGUUUCAGGCAAGCUCCUAACCCUCUUCUCGUGUUCUUUAAUUCCCGUGAAAGACCCGUGAUUUCCUGUACUUUAUUCUCUCCCUUACUCUAAUUCGGCUCCUAACCUUAUUUGUUAUUCUUAUUAAUUUGUUUUAAUUUAAAUUAAAUCUGAGACUUCUAUAAUUUUAUUCGUUGUGAGCCUAAGGGGGUUUGUACCGCCCCCAUUCCUUUCGGAAUGAUGCUGAACCCAGUUGGGGAACUAGGUUCCUAGUCGUGCGGGUUUACUUAUAGUUUUUCUCAGAUUUAUUUAUGGUUCGGUUAGAGCUAUUGAGCAGUGGGGCAGGGGUCGGUUGUUGGUGACGUUGGGAUAGACUAUGGUACGACCCUGAUGUGGACCGUCGGGUGGACACCCCUAGUCACUGGCCGUUGACCGGUGCUGGGCAUUGCUGACUAGCUCUGCCAGUAGUGGCGGCGUGGGCCAUGGCAAGGGAGUCAGCUUAUAGCGGCAGAGUCAGUAUGGUGUACAGGCAGUCCCGUCAAUCCUUGUCAACUCUGAUGUUCGAGUAGGAUUUACUCUUUUAUUUUGUACUGUGCCAGGUCUUUUCUCGAGUCUCGUGUAUGUUGGCACAGGAGUUUGUGUUUAUUUAUUUAUCUUAUGACUGCUAUGUUAGCGGGGUACCCGUAG